GAUGAAGAACGUAGCGAAAUGCGAUAAGUAAUGUGAAUUGCAGAAUUCAGUGAAUCAUCGAGUGUUUGAACGCACAUUGCGCCCCCUGGUAUUCCGGGGGGCAUGCCUGUCCGAGCGUCAUUGCUGCCCUCAAGCACGGCUUGUGUGUUGGGCCUCCGUCCUCCUCCCGGGGGACGGGCCCGAAAGGCAGCGGCGGCACCGCGUCCGGUCCUCGAGCGUAUGGGGCUUCGUCACCCGCUCUUGUAGGCCCGGCCGGCGCUUGCCGACACAUCAAUCUUUUUUCCAGGUUGACCUCGGAUCAGGUAGGGAUACCCGCUGAACUUAAGCAUAUCAAUAAGCGGAGGA
rnacentral:misc_RNA from 1 species